rnacentral:rRNA from 1 species
AUUGAACGCUAGCGGCAGGCCUAACACAUGCAAGUCGAACGAGUGGCGGACGGGUGCGUCAUGUCUGGGAAACUGCCUGCUGGAGGGGGAUAACUACUGGAAACGGUCGCUAAUACCGCAUACCAUCAGAUGUGCCCAGAUGGGAUUAGCUUGGUGGUGGGUUACCGGUUCACAAAGGCGACGAUCCCUAGCUGGUCUGAGAGGAUGACCAGCCAGUCUGGAACGUAGACAGUGUCCAGACUCCUACGGUAGGCAGCAGUGGGGAAUAUUGCACAAUGGGCGCAAGCCUGAUGCAGCCAUGCCGCGUGUAUGAAGAAGGCCUGCGGGUUGUAAAGUACUUGCAGCGGGGAGGCGUUACCCGCAGAAGAAGCACCGGCUAACUCCGUGCCAGCAGCCGCGGUAAUUC